AGAGUUUGAUCCUGGCUCAGGACGAACGCUGGCGGCGUGCUUAACACAUGCAAGUCGAAUGGAAAGGCCCUUCGGGGUACUCGAGUGGCGAACGGGUGAGUAACACGUGGGUGAUCUGCCCUGCACUUUGGGAUAAGCCUGGGAAACUGGGUCUAAUACCGAAUAUGACCAUGCGCCUCCUGGUGUGUGGUGGAAAGCUUUUGCGGUGUGGGAUGGGCCCGCGGCCUAUCAGCUUGUUGGUGGGGUAAUGGCCUACCAAGGCGACGACGGGUAGCCGGCCUGAGAGGGUGACCGGCCACACUGGGACUGAGAUACGGCCCAGACUCCUACGGGAGGCAGCAGUGGGGAAUAUUGCACAAUGGGCGCAAGCCUGAUGCAGCGACGCCGCGUGAGGGAUGACGGCCUUCGGGUUGUAAACCUCUUUCAGCACAGACGAAGCGCAAGUGACGGUAUGUGCAGAAGAAGGACCGGCCAACUACGUGCCAGCAGCCGCGGUAAUACGUAGGGUCCGAGCGUUGUCCGGAAUUACUGGGCGUAAAGAGCUCGUAGGUGGUUUGUCGCGUUGUUCGUGAAAACUCACAGCUUAACUGUGGGCGUGCGGGCGAUACGGGCAGACUAGAGUACUGCAGGGGAGACUGGAAUUCCUGGUGUAGCGGUGGAAUGCGCAGAUAUCAGGAGGAACACCGGUGGCGAAGGCGGGUCUCUGGGCAGUAACUGACGCUGAGGAGCGAAAGCGUGGGUAGCGAACAGGAUUAGAUACCCUGGUAGUCC
rnacentral:rRNA from 1 species